CCAAGUUUGCAUUCUCUAAUACAGACUGAAAAAUCUUUUUGAGAGAUUUCACAGAAAAUCACCGAUUUCUGUCUCACAUUUCCCCUAAAACCAGCUCUGUAAAGGUCGGUAGCCACAUGGUUUGAAGCCUCAAAGGAUUAAUGUUUGGCAUCUUGCCUUUUUGAUUCAAGGAAAUGAGAGACUGACAGGUUUAUACUCUCAGCCAAUUGCAAAGCUGCUCUCUUCUCUGUCCCACCUACCACUUCCUCUCAUCUUUCUCUCUUUCAUCAUCACUGUGCUUCCUGCACGUUCCCUGUUCCUGUGCUGCCCAGACCAGCGUGCUUGGGCAGCCAGGGAGUGUGCUGCAGAGCUCGGAAGCUGAGGCAGGAGUUCUGAUGCUUCAUUCUGCCCUUUGCUCCAGCAGAUUCCCUUCCAGAGCUGCUGAAAAUGGAAUUGAUGAGCUGGGAGGAAACAGUUGCUUUGGAGAAAUGCCACGUUCCAGAUAUGUGACUCAGUGAGCUGAUUAUGGAGAGGCUGAGGACGAAGACUGACUCCCCACCCCCAUGAAAUGAUCGGGGCUGAAGUGGAAAAAUUAAGUACUGUAACUGAAUCUUGAAAAUGGUCUGUAAUGAAACAUCCUGGACCUGAGCCCCAAGGACAGUAGGGGAAGGGCCUCCAACUGAGUAGGGUCUUGAAGAAAAGGGACUGAGUGGUUUUAUGGCCUACCUGAGCUGAGGUUAUAAAGGAUGGAAAAGAGGAAGUAUCAGCAUUGCAGAUGGGAAACUGAGGUACAGAGAGCUGAAGACUGAAAUUUUCAAAGGAGCCCACUGGAGUUAGGUGAAGUUGGGAAGCCAGGGAGUCCAUGUUGCAACGUGAGGAAGUUGGGGGCAAGAACUCUGAAGACAAGAUUGGCUGGUUUUGCUUCUCCCUCCUCACCCUGGAUCCCUUAUAGGAAUCACAGAUGGAUGAUUUGAGAUGAGCCUUAAAGGAAAGGAAAAUGUAUCUUUCUCUCCACCAGCAUCAACUGUAAGAGAGAAUUUGGGGCCUGAAGAUUAAAAGAUUUGCACCAUCUCCGAUCUGCAUCACAAAGACUCUUUGAAGUUAUGUCCAGGAAAGACUAUACUAAAAACAGGAUAAAUAAUAAAACUAGAUUGAAUGGA